UAACACGUGGGCAAUCUGCCCUAAAGACUGGGAUACCACUUGGAAACAGGUGCUAAUACCGGAUAACAACAUGAAUCGCAUGAUUCAAGUUUGAAAGGCGGCGUAAGCUGUCACUUUAGGAUGAGCCCGCGGCGCAUUAGCUAGUUGGUGGGGUAAAGGCCUACCAAGGCAAUGAUGCGUAGCCGAGUUGAGAGACUGAUCGGCCACAUUGGGACUGAGACACGGCCCAAACUCCUACGGGAGGCAGCAGUAGGGAAUCUUCCACAAUGGACGCAAGUCUGAUGGAGCAACGCCGCGUGAGUGAAGAAGGUUUUCGGAUCGUAAAGCUCUGUUGUUGGUGAAGAAGGAUAGAGGCAGUAACUGGUCUUUAUUUGACGGUAAUCAACCAGAAAGUCACGGCUAACUACGUGCCAGCAGCCGCGGUAAUACGUAGGUGGCAAGCGUUGUCCGGAUUUAUUGGGCGUAAAGCGAGCGCAGGCGGAAUGAUAAGUCUGAUGUGAAAGCCCACGGCUCAACCGUGGAACUGCAUCGGAAACUGUCAUUCUUGAGUGCAGAAGAGGAGAGUGGAAUUCCAUGUGUAGCGGUGGAAUGCGUAGAUAUAUGGAAGAACACCAGUGGCGAAGGCGGCUCUCUGGUCUGCAACUGACGCUGAGGCUCGAAAGCAUGGGUAGCGAACAGGAUUAGAUACCCUGGUAGUCCAUGCCGUAAACGAUGAGCGCUAGGUGUUGGGGACUUUCCGGUCCUCAGUGCCGCAGCAAACGCAUUAAGCGCUCCGCCUGGGGAGUACGACCGCAAGGUUGAAACUCAAAGGAAUUGACGGGGGCCCGCACAAGCGGUGGAGCAUGUGGUUUAAUUCGAAGCAACGCGAAGAACCUUACCAGGUCUUGACAUCCUGCGCUACACCUAGAGAUAGGUGGUUCCCUUCGGGGACGCAGAGACAGGUGGUGCAUGGCUGUCGUCAGCUCGUGUCGUGAGAUGUUGGGUUAAGUCCCGCAA
rnacentral:rRNA from 1 species